UUUAACAUAUUAUAGGAUUCUGUUUGCUAGCAUUUGGUUGAGGAGUUCUGCAUCUAUGUUCCCCAGAGAUAUUGGCCUGUAGUUCUCUUUUUUGGGUGAUAUCUGUCUGGGUUUG